UACGAAGGGGGCUAGCGUUGUUCGGAAUUACUGGGCGUAAAGCGUGCGCAGGCGGCUUCUCAAGUCAGGGGUGAAAGCCCAGAGCUCAACUCUGGAAUUGCCUUUGAGACUGAGUGGCUUGAGUACGAGAGAGGUGAGUGGAAUUCCCGGUGUAGAGGUGAAAUUCGUAGAUAUCGGGAGGAACACCGGUGGCGAAGGCGGCGAUCUGGGUCGAUACUGACGCUGAGGUGCGAAAGCGUGGGGAGCAAACAGG
rnacentral:rRNA from 1 species